rnacentral:lncRNA from 1 species
UUGAGAUGAUUUAGCCUCAACAGAUAUUUUUUAUUGUUAGCUUUCUGGGAAGCAAGACAGAUGGGGUUCCAUAGUUUCAAUCGGCAAAGUUGGUGGGUGCUUAGGAAGCCAGGAGCAGUGACACCAUCUGAAUUUCCAGGACAGUGACUUAAAAAGACAAGUGGGCAAAUGGCCAAUAUUCUCUCCGACCUAAUAGCAGGAAAAGGUGUGGCCUUCACCCAGGAAACACUACAAAGCACCUUCCCAGCAGAAGUAUUUUGAAACUGAAGAGAAACAGGAAAAUUUCAACCAAUCCCGGGAGGAUUUUCAAGGUUUAUUCAGAAAGCAAGAAGUGUUGGCAAGUCCACCGGUCAUUGUUGGCAAGUCCACCCGUCAUUCUGAAGCAGUUAGGCUGCCAAGUGAUGUGUCAAGUCCCCCACCAUGCAGUAGUGGCUGGAAGAAGAAUCUCCACUCCGAGAAAGCUGGAAAAAGAAAAACAAAAAGGAAAAGAAAAAAGAAAGGACAACCAGUCUUCUCAAACAUGGCUGUCUCAUACAGGAGAAGGCGCAGAUGAGAGUGCACAGAAAACCCAAGGCUGAUGAGCGUUCCCACCGACGAAUCUCUGCAAAGUGGAGAAGAGAGUGAACAGAAAACCCAAGGCUGAUGAGCGUUCCCACAGACAAAUCUCUGCAAAGCGGAGAAGAGUCACACACUGAACUUGCUCCAGCCUCCCGGUCUUUCCACGUGGCAGCCGUAGAGAGGACAAACAGAACUGAGGGAUCAAAGAACUCCAUUUCCCAACUCCUGGUUUCCGGUUGAUUCUCUUUGCCGGGUUCCCGGUCAUGCUGUUAGGGAACAUGCUCUUUGGAAUCAUAAAGACUUAAUAACAUCCCAGAACCCACCCAGGAAAAUGUCUCUAACUCUGAAGAGUGAGCCCUCAAGCCAUCUGAAGUUUGCAGAGAGUCCGUGGGUUUGACAAAACGCAGAAUUUGAACAGGGAGGUUAAGAAGAUGGUGGGCCUACUCUCCGCCUUCCACAAAUAGAGAUGCAGUUUUGACAUCCGGGUUUGGCAAUAAAGACCUUGACCUGUGGACACAGCAAACCCUUCCUGUGUCUUGGUGCUUUACUGAUUUCGUUCCUUA